AGGCCUCAGAGACAACCAGAGACAAACAGAUAAUUCUGACCUUGGAUUUUAAUCACCACUGUUUUCCUUCUCCUGAUCUCCUUGUUGUAGACUUCACAGCUGUAUCUUCCUAUGUCUCUGUCUGUGGGGUGUUUCAGGGUCAGACUGAGGUCUCCAGUUCUCAGCAGGUCUUUCUUCAUCUCUGUUCGGUCUCUGUAAACCUGGUCCUGCUCUUCAGGUUGAUCAGAGCCGUUCUGAUAAAAAUGGACCUUCCUGUUGUCUCUGUCCAUCCACUCCACUCUGACGUCUUGAGGCAGGUCACCUGUGGUUUUGAAGGGCAGCUGGACAGACUCCACCCCUGAAUCCACCUCCACGUGACAGUCUGAGAGGACAACAAAG